GAGGGUAUAGCUCAGUAGUAAAGCGAGUGCCUAGCAUGCAUGAGGUCCUGGGUUCAAUCCAGUACCUCCA
rnacentral:tRNA from 1 species